AGUGAACGCUGGCGGUAGGCCUAACACAUGCAAGUCGAACGGGUGGCGGACGGGUGAGCGAUACAUCAGCAUCUACUCUGUCUUGGGAGAUAACGGAGGGAAACUUACGCUACUACCGCAUACGAUGGGAUGAGCCGACGUCGGAUUAGCUAGUUGGCGGGGUAAAGGCCCAACAAGGCGACGAUCCGUAGCUGGUCUGAGAGGAAGAUCAGCCACACUGGAACUGAGACACGGUCCAGACUCCUACGGGAGGCAGCAGUGGGGAAUAUUGGACAAUGGGCGCAAGCCUGAUCCAGCCAUACCGCGUGGGUGAAGAAGGCCUUCGGGUUGUAAAGCCCUUUUGUUGGGAAAGCGGUACCCAAAGAAUAAGCACCGGCUAACUUCGUGCCAGCAGCCGCGGUAAUUC
rnacentral:rRNA from 1 species